rnacentral:lncRNA from 1 species
GACUCUCACAGAGAAACCCUGUCUUGAAAAUCAAAACAAAACACCCACCUCUCUCAGUAUUUUUAAAACUGAGUUAACAUUUGUGGUUGUUAGUGUGACUGCAGACCACCAUCCCAGAAACAAUAUGUAAAAGAAUAGAGUGGAAUAUGUAUGUUAGCAACAUCAUAUUUAAAACUUCAGAUUUCGGACUGAGAGACACACACAAAAAUACACACAUGCAGUUUAAUGAAGCAAAAUGCAGAUACUCAUCACCUAGGCAGAGAGGAGGCUACUGCAAGCCUUUCGGUGGGCUUUUGCUGUCGGUCUUUAACCUGAGGAAACGUCUUCAUCUGGUUGGUUGGUUUGAGGUGUGCUAGUUUUUGUUAACUUGACAGGAACUGGAGGCACCGAGGAAAUACCCCCAUUGGAUUUGCCUGUAAACAAGUCUGUGAGACAUUUCUUUUUCUCAAAUUAAUGAUCAGUGUGAGAGUCCAGCCCAGUGUGGGCAGUAGCAUUCCAGACAGGUGG